GACGAACGCUGGCGGCGUGCUUAACACAUGCAAGUCGAGCGGAAAGGCCCUUUCGGGGGUACUCGAGCGGCGAACGGGUGAGUAACACGUGAGUAAUCUGCCCUGGACUCUGGGAUAGCCACCGGAAACGGUGAUUAAUACCGGAUAUGACACCUUGCUGCAUGGUGGGGGGUGGAAAGUUUUUUCGGUCCAGGAUGUGCUCGCGGCCUAUCAGCUUGUUGGUGAGGUAAUGGCUCACCAAGGCUUUGACGGGUAGCCGGCCUGAGAGGGUGACCGGUCACACUGGGACUGAGACACGGCCCAGACUCCUACGGGAGGCAGCAGUGGGGAAUAUUGGACAAUGGGCGGAAGCCUGAUCCAGCAACGCCGCGUGAGGGAUGACGGCCUUCGGGUUGUGAACCUCUUUCAGUACCGACGAAGCGUGAGUGACGGUAGGUACAGAAGAAGGACCGGCCAACUACGUGCCAGCCGCCGCGGUAAUAC
rnacentral:rRNA from 1 species